AAAAUUUGCUACUGUAUCGAUUCGAUUGUGCGAUUCAUUAUGAUCAGAAUUAUUCCUUCCUGAUUUUAGUUUAGUGACUGGCGAUGAUUAAUUCAAUUAGAAACACCAGUUGGAAUUAUUUACGGGUAGUAUUUAUUUAUGAAACUGAAUAUUAUAAUCUCUUAUUAUUCUGGCUAGUUGUACUUUGUGUGAAAAAUUCUUUCAGGUUAGCAAGAAAAACUGAUUAACGAAGACGAACAAGACAAGAAACAUUCAAGUGCAGUUUACUUCAAUUUAUGAUUAAUCAAUUUAUUACCGAUGAUGAAAAAUGAACGAGGCUAACGGUAGAUGACGUAUCGGACGAGUAUUGAUGGUGUUUCAUAUUACUUUCAAUCAGGAUGAGAAUGAACUGAACUUUUUGGUCAAACUACUAGCUUUUCGAAAACACAUAGGUAUACAGAUCUUUGUAGACGAUGAAAAAUAAACAAGGCCAACAGUAGAUGGUGAAUCGGACGAGUAGAUUGCAGCCAUCGUUACGUUCUUCUAGAGAAAACAUGUGGAUGUUUACAAAGCGCAGUUUCAUAUUGAAGUUGAAGAAAGUGUGCAAAAUGAAAAGCACGCUCACCUAUUAAAAAAAAAAAAUACCUUAAGGAUGCUUCAUCUUGCGGAAAAAACACUUACAUUCUUUCUAAAAAUCGUUGAAGUUUGGUGUGAAAGUGAUGAAAAUUUUUGUAUGAGUCUUGGCGGUUUUUUUGAUACCACGUAUUUUUUUUAAAAACUUUUUUCACGCAGAGUCUAUCUUUUUUUCCAACUUGACGAUUUUUUUGCUUUUAAAGCAUUUUUUGGGGAUGUCAUUCUUUUUUUUCAAAUUUAUUUUUUUCUUCAGUUUGACGGGUUUUUUGCUUUUUGAAGCAUCUUGCAGGCAUGAAAUUUGAUCACUUGAAAAGUGACUCAGUCACUAAUUUCACUUGCAAGUCACUUUGUUCACUAUUUCGGCGAAAAUAGUCAUAUUUCAAAGAUUUGUCGUGUAAAAAAGGAAAUGUGCAAAAUUUUAGGAAAUGAUCAAUAUUUUUCAUGAUAUGAGGAGGUUGGUUACAAAGUUAGACAAACGCCACUUCUACAAAAAUCGAGUUAGAUAUUGAUUCUUAUAGGAUUUUUAACGCUCUUUUCAUUGCCAAGGUCUGUUAUUUUCAAUAUAGUAUGUAAAAGGGUAAAAAACGUGCUCAAAGUUUUGCCUUAGUUUCAAACACAGACAUGUGCAAAUUGUCUUAGUUUCAAAAACAGACAUAUCCAGGAUAUGUCUCAUUUUGAAACUAAGAUAAUGUUCACAUGUCCGUGUUUGAAACUAAGGCGCAACUUUGAUCGCGUUUUUUGACCUUUUAUGUACUAUUUUGAAACUAAGGGACCUCAGAAAUGGAAAGAGGGUUAAAAAUCCUAUACGUAUGAAAACCUAACUGAUCUAGACAGCUUCAAUUUCAAAUUAUCUUUAUCUUGGUUUCAAAAUCAGACAAGUGCAUUUUCAGGUUCUUUUUAAUAGUGGUGGGGGUUGAUGGUGGAAGGAUAUUUUUUGUAUUUUUGUUACUCAGUAUCAUCACUACAAUUUGUCAAAUAUCCCCCACCUUUACAAUGCUGUAUAUUUUUGUAACAAAAAACAAAGAUUUUCUCAAAAUCAACCUUGUGGCGUUUGCCUAACUUUGUCACCAAGCUCCUCAUAUGAAUCAUCAUUUGAAAAAAAAAUAAAAAUCAACUAUUCUACAUUGAAAAUGUAAGCCGAUGUGAUUGGAUAAGGUCGAUAUUUUUUAAACCGUACAAAAGUAUAUCGAAAGAGCAUGCAAAAAUUCAUCACCAGCCAAAAUUUCAAAUGUUCAAGGGAAUUUUUUAAAUUUUGGUGAAUUUUUGAAAAUCAAAUUUAGGCCAAAAAUGAGGGGAAAAAUCAAAAUUUUACCAAAUUGACCAAGAAAGCUGAAAUUUGGAAUAUGCCCUGUUUUCAACACGCCAAAUCGAUUGGAAACUGUUUCAACCCGUUUUGAGCAGUUCUGGAGCCUUCAGAAGGUAUUUGAAACUCAAAAUUUCACAAAAUUUCAUUAAAUGGAGGUGGAAAACCGAAAUUCAUUCUGCGAACUAAUUUCAAUACGUUACGACGUCGACUGCAGGUGGAUUUCAAGCCGUUUCGGAGCCUCCAGCGACUUUUUGAAAAUUACUGGAGUCACCAGAUUUUUGAAACUUGAAAUUCCCACAACAUUUUAUCAAACGGAGUUAGCAAGCGAAGCUGAAAUUUACUUCGCGAACUAAUUUCAACACGAUAUGAAUUCGACUGCAUGGUAGUUUCAAAUGGUUUUGAAGCUUCCAGCUACUCUGUGGAAAUUUCGAUUUUCCAAAAAACGCCGUACAACCUUUCAAAAAGUCGCUGGAGGCUCCAAAACGACUAGAAAUCCACCAGCAGUCGACUUCGUUGCGUAUUGAAAUUAGUUUGCAGAGUGAAUUUUGGCUUUCCAUCUCCAUUUGACGAAAUUUGGGAAAAUUUCAAGUUUCAAAAAUCUACUGGAGGCUCCAGUAAUUUUCAAACGGCCGCCGGAGGCUCCAAACCCACUUGAAAUCCACCUGCAGUCGACUUCGUAGCGUAUUGGAAUUAGUUUGCAGAAUGAAUUUCGUGAAAUUUUGUGGGAAUUUCGGGUUUCAAAAAUCUGCUGGUGGCUCAAGAACUGCUCAAAACAAGUUGAAACAGUUUCCAAUCGAUUUGGCGUGUCGAAAAUAGGGUAUAGCCCAAAUUUCAGUUUUCUUGGUUGCUUUGGUAAACUUUUGAUUUUGAUUUACAACAAUUCACCAAAAAUCGAAAAAGGCACUUUAGCACUUGAAAUUUUUGCCUGAUCUUUUGAUCUACCUUUGUACGUUUUAAAAAAUUUCGUGCAAGUACAAGUCGCUGGAGGUAGCAGUCGACUCUGUUGCGUAUUUGCAGAAUAAAUUUUUGCUUUCCUGAAAUUGCCAGUAAUUUUCAAAAAGUCGCUGGAGGCUCCGAAACUACUUGAAAUCCACCUGCAGUCGAAUUCGUGGCGUAUCGAAAUUAUUUUGCAGAAUAAAUUUUGGCUUUCCAACUCCAUUUGAUGAAAUUUUGUAGGAAUUUCGGGUUUCAAAAAUUUUUUGGAGGCUCCAGAAUUGCUCAAAACGGAUUGAAACAGUUUCCAAUCGAUUUGGCGUGUCGAAAAUAGGGUAUAUCCCAAAUUGCAGCUUUCUUGGUCAAUUAAGUAAAAUUUUGAUUUUUUCUCCUCAUUUUGGCGUGAAUUUGAUUUUUAGAAAUUCACCAAAAAUCGAAAUAGGCACUUUAGCAUUUGAAAUUCUGACAGGUGAUGAAUAUUGCCUUAUCUUUCGAUCUACCUUUGUAUGGUUUAAAAAGUUUCGUACAAGUCCUUUGUUGGAACGCUAGAUCUGCGCUUAUCAGUGCUUUUGAAAUCAGAAAAAAAAACUGAUCAUCGGUCAACAUGAAAUACAUUUAGAUAUUGUCAUUUUCCUUUUUCUCAGUUGGUGCUAAAAAUAAAAUUUUAUAUCCAUAAAAAAAUGAAAAUUAAAAAAUCAAAAAUGUGGUUAUUAAAAGCAAAAUAGAAUUCUAAA